GAUGAACGCUGGCGGCGUGCCUAAUACAUGCAAGUCGAACGCUGGAAAUCUAGCUUGCUAGAUUGAAGGAGUGGCGAACGGGUGAGUAAUACAUAAGCAACCUACCCACGAAGACUGGGAUAAUCUCUGGAAACGGGGACUAAUACCGGAUAGGUAAUCGGAAGGCAUCUUCUGGUUAUUAAAGGUUAAAAACACUGGUGGAUGGGCUUAUGGCGCACUAGUUAGUUGGUGAGGUAACGGCCCACCAAGACGAUGAUGCGUAGCCGGCCUGAGAGGGUGAACGGCCACAUUGGGACUGAGACACGGCCCAGACUCCUACGGGAGGCAGCAGUAGGGAAUUUUCGGCAAUGGGGGAAACCCUGACCGAGCAACGCCGCGUGAGUGAUGACGGCCUUCGGGUUGUAAAGCUCUGUUGUAAGGGAAGAACGGUAGAUAGAGAAUAUCUAAAUGACGGUACCUUACCAGAAAGCCACGGCUAACUACGUG
rnacentral:rRNA from 1 species